rnacentral:rRNA from 1 species
GAUGAACGCUGGCGGCGUGCCUAAUACAUGCAAGUCGAGCGAACAGAUGAGGAGCUUGUACCUCUGACGUUAGCGGCGAACGGGUGAGUAACACGUGGAUAACCUACCUAUAAGACUGGGAUAACUUCGGGAAACCGGAGCUAAUACCGGAUAAUAAAUUUAACCGCAUGGUUUAAUAGUGAAAGACGGUUUUGCUGUCACCUAUAGAUGUAUCCGCGUCGCUUUGGCUAGUGGGUAGGGUAAGGGCUUACCAAGGCAACGAUGCGGACCCGACCUGGGAGGGGUGUCGGCCACACUGGACCUGGACAACGGUCCAGACUCCAACGGAAGGAGGAGGUAGGGAAUCUUCCGCAAUGGGCGAAAGCCUGACGGAGCAACGCGGGGUGAGGGAGGAAGGUCUUGGGAUCGUAAAACUCUGUUAUUAGGGAGGAAGAAAUGUGUAAGUAACUAUGCACGUAUUGACGGUACCUAAUCAGAAAGCCACGGCUAACUACGUG